rnacentral:misc_RNA from 1 species
GGGGAACCUGCGGCUGGAUCACCUCCUUUCAAAGUGAAAGUGAAGAUUCUGUGUCGACAGGCGCCCACACAAAUUGUUUGAUCGAGAGGGCCCGUUAACUUGGGUCUGUAGCUCAGGCGGUUAGAGCGCACCCCUGAUAAGGGUGAGGUCGGUGGUUCGAGUCCACCCAGACCCACCACAAGCGGUGCGGUAAACCCCAAACGAUACAGCGAGAUGGAAAAAGCGACGCUGGGGCCAUAGCUCAGCCGGGAGAGCACCUGCUUUGCAAGCAGGGGGUCGGCGGUUCGAUCCCGCCUGGCUCCACCACAGCUUGGUAACGGGUUGGCCGUGGGUGUCGAUGCAUUCCUGGCCGAGCGAAGUCUUUAGUGGUGCCCGCUGCAUGGUUGGCGGGUUAGAUUGCGAGCGUCUUGCCCGCGAUUUGCUCUUUAAAAAAUCGGAAGGUCGUCCAGCAACAUUGAACGAGUCAGAAAUGACUCAUCGCAAGAAUAUAAAUCGAUUGCAUUCGCACAACUACCUAUAACUCAGACUGUUUGGGGUUAUAUGGUCAAGUGAAGAAGCGCAUACGGUGGAUGCCUUGGCGACAGGAGGCGAUGAAGGACGUGGCAGCCUGCGAUAAGCUUCGGGGAGCCGGCAAACAGGCUUUGAUCCGGAGAUGU